CCUGCGGAACGCACUUCGAGGAGGGCGCCUGCACCCACACUCAGCUGUUCACGAGUCUUUCUUCCGUUUCUCUUCUGAAAGUCGUCCCCGGCCUUCUCUUUUUUUCUCUUCUUGUUUCCCUCUGGGAGUCUGCGCAACAGUGAAUUUCCGUUUCCGGUGGUUUCCAUUCCGACCUGAGCAGUUCAAACUGUGAGCUGGGUCAGUGCCGCAGGCUGUGGUUAGAGUUACUUGUUAUUGGUAAGUAGCCACUAUGGAGGCUAAGGACCAGAAGAAACACAGAAAGAAAAACAGUGGGCCCAAAGCUGAAAAGAAAAAGAAGUGGCAUCUGCAGGAUCUCCAACUAGGAGACGAGGAAGAUGCCCGGAAGAGAAAUCCCAGAGCUUUUGCAGUUCAGUCUACUGUGCAGAUGGCUUGAUCCUUUCACUGGACUCAGGAUUUGAAGACAAAGAAGCAUCAUAUUCCAGUGGUUGAUCGAACUCCACUAGAGUCCCCAUCAAUAGUGGUAAUGGUGAUGGGGCCUCUAAAAGUUGGAAAGACCACUUUGAUACAGUGCCUCAUCAGAAGUUCACCAAGCAGAAGUUGACCGAGAUCUGAGGCCCUGUGACAGUCGUGUCAGAGUGCCAAGCUGUUCUACUUUUCUGGAGUGGUGCAUGGAGAAUAUCAAAAUGAGGAAACUGACAAUCUGGGCCAUUUUUAUUACAGUUAUGAAGUUUAGGCCUCUCACAUGGCAAACUUCUCACCCUUAUAUCCUGGCAGACAGGUAAAAAGUGAUUGUAAACUUUUUCUUCAUGGGUCUUAUAUUUCAAAGCUAAAAAGGCUAGAAAAAGAACAGUGAUAGAAUUUAUGUUUUGCCUAUUUGAAUAGUGGGGGUAGAAGUGUAGUUGAUGGAAAAUGUCUAUUGCUCCAAGAUGCUGUGCCUUUGGGAGUAAAUCAUGAAGUAUUUAGGAAAAUGGGAGGACUUGGAAGCACUUAAGGCUACAGAAUGUGGCUCCCUCCUGUGUUCAGUGUCAGUUUUCAGUGAUGCUGCCUUGUGUCCAUGGCUUGAGUUCUUUGUGUGUGCCUUCAGUUUCCUUCCUUCGUGCUCUUCCUCAUGUGGCUUUCUCAUCCUGGAAUACCCUUUUCCAUCUACCAGAAUCCACAUCACAGUAAAAAUCCCAUAGUACAGGCCUACCCUCUUCCAGAAAGGGAUUUUCUGAAUAUGUUUUUCACUCUUCCCUGACCCCAGGUGGAUAUCAUCUCCCUGUCUGGUGUGAUAGAAUGAAUGUCACUUUUAGCCUACAGUGGUAUGUCUGCCUCUUUUCCUCUGGUGGAUGGUGAAUGGUGCUUCCUUAUUUCUGUAUUUUCUAGUUUUCUAAAUGACAUCCUUAGCGGACAAGAGUAUGGUGAGUCAUUGAAACAUGAAAGGAGGUACAGGAACUUUUGACAUUCAUUUCUGCUGUAUGACUGAAUUUAUU